rnacentral:rRNA from 1 species
UCUCAGCACACCAGUGAGAACGCCCUCUAGCCUCCACCAGGCCAAGGAGCCGGCAUCAGACACAAUUCCAGUCCACAACGUCUAGUCUCACCACACCCCCAAGGGCAUUCAGCAGUGAUAAAUCUUGAGCAUAAGCGACAGCUUGACUCAGUCAGGGAAAAGAGAGCCGGCCAAUCUGGUGCCAGCCGCCGCGGCUACCCCAUGGGGCUCAAGUUGAUAGUCACCGGCGUUAAGCGUGAUUAAAGUCAAAUUAGAUUAGGGCCAAAUUAAUACUUAGUAGUCUAAAGCUCGUUAUUAAGAAGAACACAAACGAAAGUUGCCCUAACUUAUACACUUGAAUACACGACAGUUGGGGAACAAACUGGGAUUAGAUACCCCACUAUGCCCAACCGUAAACAAUUAACUUACACCAAUAAGCGCCAGGGAACUACGAGCAAUGCUUAAAACCCAAAGGAUUUGACGGUGUCCCACCCCACUAGAGGAGCCUGUUCUAUAAUCGAUGAUCCCCGAUAUACCCCACCACUCCUUGCUUAUCAGUCUGUAUACCUCCGUCGAAAGCUUACCGUAUGAACGUCUACAGUAGGCUCAAGGACCCGCACAGUGGGUCAAUACGUCAGGUCAAGGUGCAACUUAAGGAAUGGGAAGUAAUUGGCUACAAUUUCUAACCUAGAACAAACGAAAGACUAUGUGAAACCAUAGUAACGAAGGCGGAUUUAGCAGUAAAAAGAAAAUAGAGAGUUCUUUUUAACCCGGCUCUGGGACGCGUA